AAACUAGAAAUAGCUCAAACCACAUAUUAUUAUAUUAUACUCAUAAUAUUAAAACAAAACAUUUAUAACACUAAAAGUAUAGGCGAUAGAAAUUGUAUUUGACGCCAUAGAGAGAGUACCGCAAGGGAAAAAAUGAAAGAAAACUUAACAAGUGAAAAACAGCAAAGUUUAGCCCUUGUACCUUUUGCAUAAUGAUUCAACUAGAAGCAGUUAGCAAAAAGAAUUUAAGUUAACCAACCCGAAACCAGACGAGCUACCCAGUGGCAGCUUAAAGAGCAAACUCGUCUAUGUAGCAAAAUAGUGAGAAGACCCCUGGGUAGUGGCAACAAACCUACCGAGCCUGGUGAUAGCUGGUUGUCCAGGACAGAAUUUUAGUUCUAACUUAAAUCUACCAUAAAAAUUUAACAAAUUAAAAUGUAGACUUAAGUAAUAGUCCAAAAGGGUACAGCCUUUUGGACAUAGGAUACAACCUCAAUUAGUGAGUAAAUACCCCUAACUCCCCUUAGUUGGCCUAAAAGCAGCCACCAAACAAGAUAGCGUUCAAGCUCAAUAAAAUAAUCAAAAUUUAAUUUCAACUAUACAAAUGACACUCCUAAUAAUAAACUGGACUAUUCUAUUUUUAAAUAGAAGCAACACUGUUGAUAUGAGUAACAAGAAAUAUUUCUCCCUGCACAAGUGUAUAUCAAAACGAAUAACUCAUUGAUAGUUAACAGAGACAAGAGCAAUCAACCAAUUAAAUCUUCAUCACUAAAUGUUAAUCCAACACAGGAGUGCAAAUAGGGAAAGAUUAAAAGAAAUAAAAGGAACUCGGCAAACACAAACCCCGCCUGUUUACCAAAAACAUCACCUCUAGCAUUAAUAGUAUUAGAGGCACUGCCUGCCCAGUGACUUUCGUUCAACGGCCGCGGUAUCCUGACCGUGCAAAGGUAGCAUAAUCACUUGUUCCCUAAAUAGGGACUUGUAUGAAUGGCUUCACGAGGGUUUUACUGUCUCUUAUUUCCAAUCAGUGAAAUUGACACCCCCGUGAAGAGGCGGGGAUAUAAAAAUAAGACGAGAAGACCCUAUGGAGCUUCAAUUAAUCAACUCAAUGAGCCACCAUAUAUACAUCUUACGGGAAGUAAACUCGGCCAAACUGAGUCGACAAUUUAGGUUGGGGUGACCUCGGAAUAAAAGCAAACUCCCGAGAAAAUUUUUAAUUAAGACAUACCGGUCAAAAUUAAUAUAUCAUAUUAUGAUCCGCCAAAGACGAUCAUCGAAACAAGUUACCCUAGGGAUAACAGCGCAAUCCUAUUUAAGAGUUCAUAUCGACAAUCAGGGUUUACGACCUCGAUGUUGGAUCAGGACAUCCCAAUGGUGCAGCCGCUAUUAAUGUGUUCGUUUGUUCAACGAUUAAAGUCCUACGUGAUCUGAGUUCAGACCGGAGCAAUCCAGGUCGGUUUCUAUCUAUUCUAAGUCCCUCCCAGUACGAAAGGACAAGAGAGACAGGGCCCACUUAAAAUAAGUGCCCUCAUACAAACAGAUGAAAUAAUCUCAAUCUAAAUAUCCACACAACCACCCCAAAAUAAGGGUUC
rnacentral:rRNA from 1 species